rnacentral:tRNA from 1 species
ACCCAACUGGUUCAGUGGGUGGAGCAUGUGACUCUUGAUCUCAGGGUUGUGGGUUCAAGCCCCAUGUUGGGCA